CUUGUUUCAGAUGAGACUUUGGAUUUUGGACUUUGGGCUUAUUUCUCCCAGAAGUAAAACUCAGAUGACUAGGACAAGCUGUGGUGAGAGAAGCCAUUGGCUGCCAUCUAGACUGUGUUGAAAGCACACAGUCACUUGUUAAAGGCAGGAGGCAUUGUAGCAUAAAGGAAGAAUAUUAGACAUUGAAUUCAGAGAAAUAUUGGCUUUACCACUAAAAAACAAUGUGACUCUGGGUAAGUUUCAUAUAUUCUAUGGGUCUCAAUUCCUUCAUUAAAAAAAAAAAGAUAGUGGUCUUCGCAAAUUAUGGUGUCAAAGCUGUCUCUCUGCUGGUUCUUGCCAGCAACAAAUGACAAAAUGUAUGAAAAUUUUAAAUUCUGCAAGACAGAGCCAUGUCUUAUGCCUCUGAACAUAUUGCAUCCUCUCAUUCAUUUAAUAAAAAUUUAUUUGGUACCUAUUAUGUACUAAACAGUGCACUUGGUACUAGGAAUACAGUCAUGAACAAAUCAACUCUCCCUCUCCUUAUGGACUUGUGGUUUAGCAGAGGACACAGAAAUGUGGUAAAUCCAAAUGAUGACAUGGUUUUACAAACACUUGAAACAUCAGGGAGUUCUCCAUACAGUUACUAAAAUCAAGGAUGCAGAACAAAUUUGUUCCCAAGCUUUUGCUGGAGACCAGAAAAAUCAUACCAAUGAUGGUGUCUCCUCCCUCUCCCUGACUUUCGUGUUUAUACAUACUUCUUCCUCAAGUGCCUUAUGAAUAUUUUGUAAUCAAAUAAACAGAGGCAUGUUCUAGACAGAAUCUAGAUUCUCUCUCGUUACAAACGUGUUCCAAUUAUAAUUAUUUCAAAGUAUUUUAUGGUAAGAAAUCUCAUAUUUAAGAGUCAAUGUUUUAGAGUUUUUGGAGUUACUUUUGCAAUCCGAAGCUUUCUGAUUGGCUGACAUUAUCAUUGCUAUCUCUAUAAUUACAGGCAUGCAUCAUUUAAUGAUGGGGAUACAUUCUGAGAGAUGCCUUGUUAGGCAAUUUUAUUGUUAUAUGAAUAUCAUAGAGUGUUCUUUUACAAACCUAGAUGGUAUAGUCUACUACACACCUAGGCUAUAUGGUAUAGCUUAUUUCUCCUAGACUACAGACCUGCACAGCAUGUUACUGCGCUGAAUAUAGUGGGCAACUGUAACACAACAGUGAGUAUUUGUAUAUCUAAAAAUAGAAAAGGUACAGUAAAAAUGUGUUAUUAUAAUCUUAUGGGACCACUUUCAUAUAGGUUGUCCAUUGUUGACCGAAACGUUGUUAAUGUGGCACACGUCUGUAUUAUCAAAUAUUAUUUGAGUGUCUACUGUGGGUUAAGCACUGUACUAUGUACCUAGGAUAAUUCUGUAAUGAAGAAACAUAAUUUAAAUAGGGAAUCAAAACGUGUAUUUGAUUGGAAAGACGUAAUGCAGAGCAAGUCUAUAUCUGGUAAGGUAAGGCUGAAAACAACUAAAAUUACGAGAUAAAAUACAAAAUGCUUUCAUAAAAGCAUUGAAAAAUCUAACAUGACAUAAUAAGACAUUAUUUAAGAGCUAGAAUUUAGAGAGGUGAGCAGAUCAUUGCUUCGGCUUUCAGGACCUUUGCAAACUUAGAUUAAAUAAAUUAACUUAAAUUAGCUAUCAAAUAUAGCUGUGAGUUUGAAGGGUUCAUAGCCUGGAGGAAAACAGAAGUAAAAUUCAGCAUCUGUCAAAAGUUGCCAAAGUAGUAAUAAACAUGGUAGUUAUCCGAUCCCUUUCCUAGGGCACCAGAUUUGGGCACCACCACAUGUGAUGUGGGGCGGAUUGGCCAAUAGAAGCCAAGUGAAGUCAGACGCUCAAGAUGUAACUAAAGAGACAUACCUAUUUGCGGCCUACUUCCUAUUCUCCAAGUGCAUUUUAAUUCCCCUGACUGCAUGAUUUUGUUCAGCAUUUAUGAAUAUCAUCUGUCUAAUCUGGAGAAACACGUCUUAUAGUUGGCCACUCUCAUGGUUCUUGUUGCCUUCUGUUGUUUGGAGGAAUCUAAGGAUUUAUGGAAGUUAUGUUGGUAUAUCAGAAGCUUGUUGGUAUAUAUUUGAGUAGAAGGGCUUCAAUGAAGUCAACUUAUACCACUAAGUGGAUUGUUGAUUCUUCGAUGGAUGAGGCUGUAUAAGGGGAUCAACAUUAAUCAAUGUUGCUGACAGGCUGGACAUUCAGCAGCAACCUUGACAAGAGAAUGAAGGCCAAAUUGAGUUUCCUUGAGCAACUCAUUUAACGUUAAGAAUCAAGAUGGUGCCCAAGCUCAGAUGACAUCCUUUCUAACCCAUUUGGAAGGCUCCUCUCAUAGGAGGUGUGAAAGAAAAGAGAAUGGAAAGGAACAGGCUCUUCUCUUGAAGAAAAGCCCUCAGUCCAUACAGCCAGACUUUGUCUACAUAUGCCUUUCUAUGGGAUGCUGAGAGACCAAGGGCUUCUGACAUAGACAUGUGAGAAAUACUGGCUUUAAGUAUACUAUACUCAGUGUCAAAAGCUUUCAGGAUGCAAGAAAUUCCUGAAUUUGAGUCUCCAAAAUUUUAAACAAGGAAAGGAAGUAAAAAUUAUCUCUUUUUCGAUGUAUGGCCCUAUAGUUGGCCAAAAAUGAUUGCUUCUGUUGUUAGAUAUUCAUGUAUAUUUAAGAUUAAAGAAGGUGAUAUUGAUGUGCAAAUAUGAGAGUAAAUUGACAGACAGAUAACCUAAAAAAGUACAGUAAAAUAAAGUUAAGAGUUGUGAUGAAUACCUAAAGGUCCAUUGCCAGAUGAAUGUGAAGACGGAAUGUGAUUUAUAUAUAUAGUGGAAUAUUAUUCAAUUAAAAAGAAAAUGCUAACACUUGCUAAUAUAUAUAAACCUUCAAGACAUUAUGCUAAGUGAAAGAAGCCAGAUACCAAAGGACAAAUAUUGCACUGUUCCACAUAUAUGAAGUGAACAUCACAUAUUGCUGAAGUUCUCAUCAUCAGAAAGAGGCAGAGCUAAGAUUUAAAUCCAGACAUGCCUGGUUCUGAAUUCAGUUGUCUUCCUACACCCAGGAGCUUAUUACAUGCAUUGUGCUAGUCUUCCUGGAAAUCAGGCAAACUCAGUCCACUGCACCUCAUCUCCUUAUGUAAUAACCUGGAGAGCGGUGAGAGCCAUCUGCUUCAAGAGCGACAUAUUUGAGUCCAUAAGGUAAUAGGUUGGCAGAGAACAGAAGGAUUAUGGCAUUGCCAUUUGGCAUUCUUGACUUACUCUGCAUUUAUAAAAUCGAAAUACAUAGUCCAUCAUGUUCUCACAGAGCCUACCAUUAUCAGUCAUUCUGAAAUAAACAUGGUUAGGGACAUCAUAUUCAAAAUAAGUGAUCCUUGUUUUCGGGAAUGAUGUCUGGCAGGAGGAGUUUUUAAAUCCUGCUUUCUGAAGCACUAGCUUACAAAUGACUUUGUGAAGUGUAUUUUGAUUCUGGGGCCCAAGAAGGAGAAAAACAAGUAAGGGAGAAAAACAUAGGCUGGAUCUUAAGAUCACAAGAUAACAGAUGGAUUAAAGGGUAGAAGCCAGAGCAGAGGUUCCAAAACAAGAUUGAUCAUUCAAAUUCAUCUGAAGAACUUUAAAUAUAUGUAUUUACCUGAACCCAGCUUCAGGAAUGAGGCUCAGACAUCUGUGUAUUUAAAAUCUCCUGUGGUUAUUCUGAUAAUUAGCCUCAGUUUUGAGUCAUCUAACAAAGAAAAAGCAAAACAUAUGUCAAUCAGUUUAUCUUACUGUAAUUAAACUUCAGUGGGAAACAUGAGGUGACCCCAAAGAACUGGUUAAGUGUGGCUUAAGAAUUAGUUAAGCAAAUGUACCAAAAGACAAUUUUAAAAAACCAAAUAAAAAGAAAUUUUAGUUUAUUCUCAGGGGCUUUCACAGGAGUCUAUAAAAAUCUCAAAAACAUCCAGGAAGCUCCCAUCGAAUAAUUUGGCUACCUGAAGUGCUGAAUAAAAGGAGCUCUCCCAAAAGAAGCUGUGAAUUCUCUAUCAGGCCCAUGUCCACUCUUCUAGUCAUAGCCUUACUUCUUAAAGAAAGAGAGAAGCUCUAAUCCAAAUCCAAACAUAGGACAUAUGGCGAAGAUUAUUCUGAGAGACACAGUCCCAGAUUCUCCUCUGCUAUACAGGUGUGACAAAAAAGGAGCAAGAACAAAGACUCUAACAUAAUCCUUAGAUGUUUAUAAUAGAAAAAAGAAUGGAAAGAAAUAAACUUUAGCAUUUACACAGGUUGAGCUGACCUAAUCUGAAAAUCCAAAAUCCAAACUGCUAAAAAACUGAUUGAGUUCUGAAGCUUUGAGUGUCAAAAUGGCUCCACAAGUAGAAAGCUCCACAUCUGACCUCAUGUGAUAGGUCACGGUCAAAAUGCAAUCAAAAUUUUGCUUCAUGCCCAACAUUAUUUAAAAUAUUGUAUAAAAUUACCUUUGGCUAUAUAUUAAUAUGUAAGGUAUAUAUAAAACAUUAGUGAUUUUUGGUUUAGUCUUGGAUCCUAUCCCCAUAAUAUCUCAAUAUAUGUAUGCAAAUAUUCCAACCUCCCUGCGCCCAAAAAAUCCAAAAUCCUAAGCACUUCCAAAAUCUAACAGUAAAACAGGCUGAGUAUCCCAAGCAUUUUGGAUAACAGAUGUUCAACCUGUAUCACUUGGGGUCCAUUCAGGGGAACAAACCCCACGAGGUAUUUCAACAGAGAUAAUUUCAUAUAGGGAAUUUGUUAAUCAGAUGAUGGGGAACUGAAAAGGAAAAUGAGAACAUUAGAAGAGAUCAUUACAAAAAGCUGCUACCUCCCCUCAGGCUGGAGGAAUGAAAGGAAGCUGAGAUCAGGAAGCUCAUUGGGAAGCUGAUCAAAACUUACAAGGUUCAUAGAGGGGCCCAAAGAUUUAGGACUCAGAAUUCCAAGGAGGGUGUUACCUACCUCCAAGGAGGCUGCUACUGAAAUCUCAGGAGCUUGGAGGGAGGGUCUCACACAAUGGGGGCCUAACCUCUGAAGUGAGGAGCUACCAGCUAGUGCUGGUACCUCAGAAGUUGGGAAGAGGUCCUGUGAUGUUGAGAUGCAGACACAUAAUGAGUGGGCUCUGCAGCUGGUGGUCGUGAAGGGGCACAAUGACUCUGUUAGUGGGAAUGGCCCGAUGAUCUGAAAGCUGUAAUUAACAGCUGCUGCCAGGGUAAAAGGCCAAAGUGGGGUGAUCUGAUGGGAAAAAAUAAACAAGCAGAAAUGAACAAGUUCCUUCUCCCCUUCUCCUGCCAUUUACUCUUCCCCUAGUUCUUCCUAUUGAUGGAAAUUAAUAGUAAGCCUUCUGACAAAGGAGACAUGUUGUCUUCAGAACCAUCAUCACAAAGUAGAGGCUAGGAAAGUAGAUGUGGAACCUAAUACCGGGUGAAUCAUUCAUCGCACAGUUUCAAAGGUGGCAACAGAAUUAGCCAAAAGCAAGUAUAGGAUGAAAAUAACAAAGGGAAGGGCAGAAAUAAAAUAAGACAUAAACAUUUGAUAGAGAGGACCAACAAAACAAAAUUUUAAUUCAGUGGGAAAA
rnacentral:lncRNA from 1 species